CGGGGAAUCUUGGACAAUGGGCGCAAGCCUGAUCCAGCCAUGCCGCGUGAGUGAAGAAGGUCUUCGGAUUGUAAAGCUCUUUUACCAGGGACGAUAAUGACGGUACCUGGAGAAUAAGCCCCGGCAAACUUCGUGCCAGCAGCCGCGGUAAUACGAAGGGGGCUAGCGUUGUUCGGAAUUACUGGGCGUAAAGCGCACGUAGGCGGGUUAUUAAGUCAGGGGUGAAAUCCCGGAGCUCAACUCCGGAACUGCCUUUGAAACUCCCAGUCUUGAGGUCGAGAGAGGUGAGUGGAAUUCCGAGUGUAGAGGUGAAAUUCGUAGAUAUUCGGAGGAACACCAGUGGCGAAGGCAAUCCCCUGGGCCUGCACUGACGCUCAUGCACGAAAGCGUGGGGAGCAAA
rnacentral:rRNA from 1 species